GGACAGGUGAGAUAUGGACAGGUGAGGGACAGGUGAGAUAUGGACAGGUGAGAUGGGACAGGUGAGAUAUGGACAGGUGAGAUAUGGACAGGUGAG